UACGGGGGGGGCAAGCGUUGUUCGGAAUUACUGGGCGUAAAGGGCUCGUAGGUGGCCAACUAAGUCAGACGUGAAAUCCCUCGGCUCAACCGAGGAACUGCGUCUGAUACUGGAAGGCUUGAAUCCGGGAGAGGGAUGUGGAAUUCCAGGUGUAGCGGUGAAAUGCGUAGAUAUCUGGAGGAACACCGGUAGCGAAGGCGGGUCUCUGGGCCGAUACUGACGCUGAGGCACGAAAGCGUGGGGAGCAAACAGG
rnacentral:rRNA from 1 species